AAGGAUCGUGGAAGAUGACCACGUUGAUAGGCUAUAGAUGUAAAGGCAGUAAUGUCAUAGUCGAGUAGUACUAAUAAUCCGUAAGCUUAUGUA
rnacentral:rRNA from 2 species